GACCCUUCAUUAGGACUGGGAAGGAAUGUGACAGGAGCCAGAAUAAAAUGGUUGGGGAUGAGAACCAGCUGACAGGUGACGGGUGAGACAGCGUGAGGGGGAACGUGGGGGAGGGUAAUGCUGAGAGGGGACAGGUGGAAGAGGUAAAGGGCUGGAGAAGUAGGAAUCUAAUACGAGAGGACAAUCGACCAUGGAAGAAACGGGAGGAACUGGGCUGUUUGCGGCCCUGAAUGGCGACGAGGGAGGAGGUUAGGAGUCAGGUGUAGCAAAGGACAAAGGAAAUAUGUUAAGUUAACGUUAGUUUUUACCUUGUAGAUUUUAACAGCUUCUUUAAUCGGCAUGAAGCGGUGCUCUCUGUGUUCCUGCGCGUCUCUACAGAUCACACAGAUCAGUGUCCUGUCCGUUUCACAAAACAGCUUCAAUUCUUCCUCAUGUUCCUCGCAGUGACGUUUACUUUCCUUCCCUUUCGGAUUCAGGCUUAGAUUCCGAACUUUUUGUGUCAGAUUUGCUAAGGCCCGAUUCACCCUGAGGGUGCGGUCAGCAAACUCCUCUCUACAUUCCGGGCAGGAGUUUCUCUGCUCCCUUUCCCAAUACUGUGUGAUACAAGAGCGACAGAAGUUGUGUCCACACUCCAGUAUAACCGGAUCGGUGAAGAAAUCCAGGCAGACGGGGCAAAUUACCUCCUCGGUCCAACUGUCGGUCUCUCCUUUCGAAGCCAUGUUAACUCCAGCACUUACUGAUUCAGAAUGCUUUCACUUUCGGGGAGCUGCUGAUCCCCUGCAGUACCGGGAUUGUCCACUACGCGCGCUGCAGACUCGGGGAAUCACACAACACACACAAUGCUGGUGGAACACAGCAGGCCAGGCAGCAUCUGUAGGGAGAAGCACUGUCGACGUUUCGGGCCGAGACCCUUCAUCAGGACAGCAGUAAUCGUGCUGCCCGUUGGAGAGAUCUGGUGAUGAGGCAUUCUGCCAGAUGGUCUGGACUGUCUGCUCAGGGAACCACUCCACUGUGUCCAUCCAGUCCUUCUCCUGCAGUAACUGCAGGACAUUCCGUGCUGACCACUGUCUGGUGUUCUUGUGGUCAAAGCUGCUGGUCUAAAAGAACUGUCACCAAUUUCAUUAACACAAGGUUCACAUGGAGAAGCUUCCCGACUGAGACAGACACAGUCUCAUGGGGUAUUUACAGGGUAGGGGCAGGAAUGAUGUUUUUCCUGGCUGGGCAGUGGAACCAGGGAUCGCAGACUCAAAAUCCGAGGCCACCUCAGCAGGACUGAGAUGAGGAGAAAUUUCCCCAACACAGUGCAGUGAAUAUUUGGAGUUUUCUCCACAAGUUUCCUAAAGUAAACGGACAUAUUUAGGAGCUCGGCGAUGUUGGGAACGUUUCAGGAAAGUGGCGCUGAGGUCAAAGUUCAACAUGUUCUGAGUGAGGGGCAGAACAGUGCAACGGGCCGAGUGGCAACGCCUGCUCCUGUUUCUUAUUUUCUAAAUCACGAAUUUACCUUUGCGCCUUGUUCUCCCUUGGCCUUCCGCCUGUCGGAUUGCACAGGGGAGCGGUGAGAGCUCCGGAGAUCCAUCAGCAGCCGCUGCGGUUAUUUCAUGCUGUUGUUAUUUUAUCGGUGUUUCUCUGUUUUUGCACAGUUUGUUACCUUCAGCACUCUGGCUGAUCUUUCACUGCCUGCUUCUGUUAUGGUUACUAUUCUAUACUUUUUCUAAGUACGUCCGCAGGAAAAUGCUUCUCGGGGUUGAAUGUGGUGAUUUAUCUGUACUCUGAUAAUAAAAUUUACUUUGAAAUUUGAGUUUCGGGGAUUUUCCUUUAAUUCUGGGGACAAACUGUGACUGACAUCUCCAGCUCCCAGCAGCAGCCCGUUCUCACACAUACACAGCCAAUCAGCGACCACCGCUGGGAGAGGGAUGCUGCCAUUGGCUGAGGGGUGUCAGUGGGCGGGACGCUGUUUGGACCGGGACCGAGUGGGCCGGAGACCGGGAGCUGCGCCUCGGGUUUCGGCUGCACCACCGGCGGGUCGUGAAUCCUUUCGAAGGCAGAGCUGAAGCGACCGGCGGAGAUUCCGUGAGAUGUUUCAGCUGCACGGAGGGCGCCCGGCCUUUCCCCGCCGAGGAUCGGGGCCUGUUGUCUGGAGUUGUCUCCCAGACCCGUCCCUUCCUGCUGGGAGACGGGAGCUGCCCCGCAGCGGCUGCCGGUGGAUCUCCGGAGCUCUCACCGCUCCCUUGUGCAAUCCGAACGGCUGAAAACCAAGGGAGAACAAGGCGCAAAGGGGCAAGACCAGAACAUGUGGGUCAAUAAAGCGACUUCAGAAUGACAUCUGUGACAGGCUGGAUUAACAUAAGAAUAAAAUCGAGCGAGUUUAUCCUUGGACAUGUGAGCCCUAUGAACAACCUGAAAUUGUAUUAGGCAUGUUUAGCACAAAUAAAAGAAGAAUUGAUUAAUUGUAAAAUGUUCUCCCACUGCCCUGUGGGUAUAAGACUAUGAAGUUCUUUUUCCCAUUCCUUCUUAAUUGUUUCUGAUACUCCUGGCUGUAUUUUCAUGAUCAUAUUAUAAAUAAUAGCUACUAAACCCUUCUGACAAGGAUUCAGAGCCAGAAUUUUUUUCUGUAAUGUCCAUUGGACAUAAUUUCAGAAAAGACUAACAUUCAAGAAAUUGCUAACUUGCAAGUAUCUAAAAAAAAAUGAGUUUUAGGCUGGAUAGCUGUUCAAAGGACAUAAAACUGUUAUCUAAAAAUAGAUCACGAAAACAUGUUAUACGUUUUGUUUUCCAUAACACAAAGGCUUAGUCCAUAAAAGAGGGCUGGACAAAAAGUUAGAUAUAAUAGGGGUUGAUAAGAUAAACUUAUUCAAGCUGAAGAAUUUACGAAAUUGAAACCAUAUUCUUAGUGUAUGUUUAACUACAGGAUUAGUUAUUUGUUUAUUUGGUUUAGAUAAAGCAAAAGGAGGCAAAGAUCCUAAAAUAGAAAACAAUGAGAAGUCUUGUACAGAUUUACACUCCAAAUUUACCCAUUGUGGGCAAGGUACUACAACCAAUUCUCGUGUCCAAAAUAUUAAAUAUUGAAUAUUAACUGUCCAAUAGUAAAAUCUCAGGUUUGGCAAAGCAAAACCACCUUCCUUCUUAGGCUUCUGUAAAUAUAUUUUACUUAAUCUAGGAUUUUUAUUCUGCCAGACAUACGAGGGUAUUUUGGAGUCAAUAAUAUCAAAAGAAGAUUUAGGAAUAAAAAUUGUUAAUGCUUGGAAUAAAUAUAAAAAUUUGGGUAAUACUAUUAUCUUGAUAGUAUUAAUUCAACCAACCAAUUACGGAGAUAAUGGGGACCACCUGGUAACGAGUUGCUUGAUUUGUUCAAUUAAAGGUAAAAAAUUAACUUUAAAUAAACCCUUAUGUUUCUUGGUAAUUUUAAUACCCAAAUAAGUAAAAUGAUCUGUGACAACUUAAAACAGUAAGUGUUUAUAAAUUGGAACUUGCAUAUUUAAUGGAAAUAAUUCACACUUAUUAAAAUUCAGUUUGUAGCCAGAAAAGCUACUAAACUGAGCAAGCAAGGAUGAAACAGCAGGAAUAGAUCUCUCAGGGUCAGACAUGUAUAGUAGCAAAUGAUUAGCAUAUAAUAAUAUCUUAUAAGUCCCUUACCCACGAGUAAUACCAAAAAUAUUAGGUGAUUCACGAAUGGCAAUGGCUAAAGGUUCCAAAGCAAUGUCAAAUAAUAGAGCACUUAAAGGGCAGCCUUGCCUCGUACCACGGGACAACUGAAAAAAAGGAGAUCUUUGAUUAUUGGUAAGAAGUGAAGCCAAAGGUUUAUAAUACAUUAAUUUAAUCCAUGAUAUAAAUUUCAAGCUAAAAUUAAAAUUCUGCAAUGUAUUAACUAAAUAUAGCCAUUCAAAUCUAUCAAACGCUUUUUCAGCACCUAAAGAAAUGACAUUCUAGUAUUUUAGAUGAAGAAGUAUAAAUUAUUUUAAUUUAUUUUCUAAUGUUAAAAGAUGUAUAACAGAUUUUAAUAAAUCCGGUCUGAUCUUCAGAGAUAAUUUGAGAUAAUACAUUUUCUCAUGUAGUGGCCAAAAUUUUGGUAAAAAUCUUAGAAUCCGUAUUCAGCAAGGAUAUUGGCCAAUAGGAUGCAAAUUCAGAGGGGUCUUUAUCUUUUUUAACAAUUGGAUUAAUGGAGGCAUCAUAAAAAGAUUGUGGUUAUUUACCUACAGUUAACGCAUCUUUAAAAAUUUUACAAAGCCAAGGAGCGAGUAUAGAAGAAAAGGAUUUAAAAAUAUUCAGCAGUAUAACCGUCUGGACGAGGGGCUUUACCUGAAUUCAUUGAAAACGGGAGUGGGUUCCCCUUUCCAGACCCUGCCCGGGGACUUGUGCCACUCCUCAGGGUUAUAUAUGGAACCUCUCGGACACGGACAGGGAGUGGGUUCCCCUUUCACAGGCAGACGCUCGUUGGUGACCGGGAGCCACCAGAGGGGCUGAUGUAAUACAGGCCCUGGCACGGUGGGUCACUGAGGUAAGGGAACCCAUUUGAAUGACAGCCCGACUGCAUGCGGAUUUUGAGAAUUUAUCUGAUAACUGCAGAGAAAAGGAGAAUCCCUUGCGUACUUUAUAGCUCGUUUUAAGGAUACAUGAGAGUCCAAUGCCGGCAAAUCCCUGGACAGAUCAGUGUGUCCAGCUGGCAGUGCAGACUUUUUUAAACUGUCUCAGGCCCAAGCCUGCCCACUCCAUUAAGUAAACUAAUCUCAAUUCGCUGUGUCAGACCUGGCCCCGGGUGACAUAAAUUCUGAUGAAUAGGGAGCGCAAUUGACUCUUUAAAGGGACUGUGGAAAAGCGAGAGUGUGCACAGAGAACCGGUAGUGAGGAGAUGGAGUUCGGGUCCCGACGAAGAACCCAGAACGGGUGGCAGGAUCGUGCGGAUGGUGCAGAUGAAGAGGACACUUGGCUAAGGACAGAAAAGGAGUUUGUAGAAAGAGGGGACAUUAGGCCGGAGACUGUCGCACUGGAAUCACAGACAAGAAUAAUAAGGGGCAGGAAGUGAUUCUGGGUGACAGUGAUACUCGAUAGUGUACCACAUUUACUAUCCACAAUUCCUUCGAUCCCGGAUAGGGCAGGCCAGAGGGGACAGAUCACAGUGAUACUCGACAGAGUACCACAUUUACUGUCCACAAUCCCUUUGGUCCCGGAUAGUGCAGGCCAGAGGGGACGGAUCACAGUGAUACUCGACAGAGUACCACAUUUACUCUCCACAAUCCCUUUGGUCCCGGAUAGGACAGGCCAGAGGGGACGGUGAUACAGGCGGCUGUGAUCAGGCUCACCAUACAGGCAGGCUCUUUUCUCACUGCUGUAAUCAGGUAGAAGGUACAAGAGCCUCAGGACUCGCCCCACCAGGGUCAGGAACAGUUACUACCCCUCAACCAUCAGGCUGUGGAACAACACAGGAUAACUGCACUCACUUGAUGUCCAUAGAGUUGCUCCCACAACAAAUGAUCGUACUGGGACUGUCUCAAAAUGAGUGAAACAAGAGGUGGUUUAACUGAGACAGAUUGUAUUCCUGUCUCAGAAUUAGAGAAAUAUAAUCUCACAAGAUAUUUAAAGUGGAUGUGCUGGAAUGAUGUUUCCCAGAAGGUGUGGAACCAGCACUCACAAACUCAGAAUACGAGGAGAACUGAGCAGGACUGAGGUUAGGAGAAAUGUCCUCACCCAGAGUGCAGUGAAUCAUUGCAAUUAUCUCCACAAGGUUUCGGAAUUGAAUAGACAUAUCCUGGGGCUCAGCGGUGAUGGAAAGUUGCAGGAAAGUGGUGCUGAGGUCAAAAGUCAAGCAUGUUCUGAGUUGAAGGACAGUGGUAGCGCAAGGGCCGAAUGGCCACGCCUUCUCGAUUUCUUGUUUUCUGAAACACUCGGUAACCUUUGUGCCUCACUGUUUCUUGUCCUGUCAGAUUGAACAGGGAGAGCUGAGAGCACCGGACAUCUAUCGGCAGCCGCUGCGGUUAUUUCAUGUUCUCAUUGUUUAUUUGCAUUGGCGAAGUUUGUUGUCUUCUGCACUCUGGUUGAUCUUUCAGUGAUCCAGAUAUAGUUACCAUUCUGUAGCUUUGCUCUGCAUGUUUGCAGGAGUUGUUUGUGGCGACUUAUAUGUACUCUGUUAGUUUUUGGAAUAGUCACUUGGGGAAUCUGAGGUGGAGGAGUAUUUGGGGCUUAUUUUAAAUUAUACAUAGAUAUUAACCAAAUAAUGUUUAUUUGACAAGGGUUAAUUCUGAUAUUGAGACUAACUGUUCUUUUUGUGGUUGAUAUCCAGAGGAUUUAUUUCAUCUGUUUUGGGAUUGUGAAUAUGUUAAAACAUUUUGGUUUGAUGUUUGUCAAUUUAUAGAUUAAUAUAUUAAUGUGGAUUUUACUUUUUGUUUUGAAAAUGUCUUAUUGGGUUUACUAGUAAUACCAAAUCUCACAGGGAUCAUUUCUCUAUCAUAAAUCUUUUGUUAAUUUACAGCAAAUUUUGUAUCCAUAAAUGCAAACACAGCAAUAAGAAACCUUCAUUUAGAUUUUUACCUCAGACUUCAAACUAUACGUUUAUACUCUGAACAGUUCCCGUAACCAGAAACCUGUAAAGACUGUACAAAUCUGUCAAUGUUUUGUGUUAUCUCUGUAAAUGUUCUUGUUUUGUGACUCCUCUAAGAUACAGUCCCUUCUGUCCAACAGUAUUUAGAGCGGAUUUCCUUGUUUAUUUGUAUAUUUAAAGUUAAUAGUUAUAUAUUCGUUGUUGCUUUUGUGUGAUUUCCUGGCUUUGUUAGCAUAUGUUUAGUGUUUCUGUUUUUGUUUGUGUUCAAUAAAAAUUUAAAAUAUUGAAAAAUAAUAAUAAAAUUUACUUUGAACUUUGA